UAGUCCACGCCGUAAACGAUGUGCACUAGGUGUUGGGGGUAAUUAAACCUUCAGUGCCGCAGCUAACGCAUUAAGUGCACCGCCUGGGGAUUACGGUCGCAAGACUAAAACUCAAAGGAAUUGACGGGGGCCCGCGCAAGCGGUGGAGCAUGUGGUUUAAUUCGAUGAUACGCGAGAAACCUUACCAGGGCUUGACAUAUACAGGAAUGGUAUAGAGAUAUAUCAGCUGCUUGCAGUCUGUAUACAGGUGCUGCAUGGUUGUCGUCAGCUCGUGCUGUGAAGUGUUGGGUUAAGUCCCGCAACGAGCGCAACCCUUAUCUUUAGUUACCAGCACGUAAUGGUGGGACUCUAGAGAGACUGCCGGGGAUAACUCGGAGGAAGGUGGGGAUGACGUCAAAUCAUCAUGCUCCUUAUGUCCUGGGCUACAAACGUGCUACAAUGGGCGCUACAAAGGGCAGCUAUACCGCAAGGUAAUGCGAAACCGAAAAAGGCGUUACUC
rnacentral:rRNA from 1 species